ACGUGUUUGACCAAAUUACGAAUCUGCUUUAGAGGCGUCAAUUGGUUCUCUACGUUCAUAAUUCUACGUAUCAAAUUUGUUGGUUCAGUGUGCGUUUUUGCUAUUUCAUGACAUUUGGCUGAGGCCCCCCUUCGUAGGGGCCAGCAGCAGCUCUACAUUUUUUCGGGACUAUUUUGACAAUUGAAACAACAAUGAAAUUGCACAAGUCAUUGGGCUAACUGUUGCUUAUAUUUGGCUAAC